rnacentral:rRNA from 1 species
UACGUAGGCAGCAAGCGUUGUUCGGAGUUACUGGGCGUAAAGGGUGUGUAGGCGGUCCCCUAAGUUUGGUGUGAAAUCUCCCGGCUCAACUGGGAGGGUGCGCCGAAAACUGGGGGGCUAGAGUACUGGAUGGGAGAGUGGAAUUCCUGGUGUAGCGGUGAAAUGCGUAGAUAUCAGGAAGAACACCCGUGGCGAAGGCGGCUCUCUGGGACGGUACUGACGCUGAGACGCGAAAGCGUGGGGAGCGAACAGG